rnacentral:rRNA from 1 species
AUUGAACGCUGGCGGCGUGCCUAACACAUGCAAGUCGAGCGGUAACAGGUGUAGCAAUACAUGCUGACGAGCGGCGAACGGGUGAGUAAUGCUUCGGAAUCUGCCCAAUAGUGGGGAAUA